rnacentral:rRNA from 1 species
GUCUACGGCCAUACCACCCCGAACGCGCCCGAUCUCGUCUGAUCUCGGAAGCUAAGCAGGGUCGGGCCUGGUUAGUACUUGGAUGGGAGACAGCUAGAGGCAGAAAGGAGCUCAAUUUU